AAUGAACGUUGGCGGCGUGGAUUAGGCAUGCAAGUCGUGCGAGAAUCUCCCUUCGGGGAGAGGACAGCGGCGAAAGGGAGAGUAACGCGUGGUUACAUACCCUCGGGACCGGGAUAGUAGCGGGAAACUGCUAGUAAUACCGGAUAAUAUCUUUGGAUCAAAGGUGUGAUUCCGCCCGAGGAUUGGACCGCGUUCUAUUAGCUUGUUGGCGGGGUAAUGGCCCACCAAGGCGACGAUGGAUACCGGGUGUGAGAGCAUGGCCCGGCUCCCUGGGACUGAGACACUGCCCAGACACCUACGGGUGGCUGCAGUCGAGAAUCUUCGGCAAUGGGGGCAACCCUGACCGAGCGACGCCGCGUGCGGGAUGAAGGCCUUCGGGUUGUAAACCGCUGUCAGUUGGGAGGAAGUGCCAGGGGGUUCUCCCCUUGGUUUGACCGAUCUUCAGAGGAAGGACGGGCUAAGUUCGUGCCAGCCGCCGCUGUAAUAC
rnacentral:rRNA from 1 species